AACGAACGCUGGCGGCAUGCCUAACACAUGCAAGUCGAACGAGACCUCCGUGUCUAGUGGCGCACGGGGGCGUAACGCGUGGGAAGCUGCACUUAGGUUCCGAAUACCUCCCUGUAAGGGGUGCUAAUACCGGAAAAUGUCUUCGGACAAAAGAUUUAUCGCCUUGUGAUGGGCGCUCGUUGGUUUAGCUUGUUGGGAGUGUAAAAGCCUAUCAAGGCGAGGAUGCUUAGCUUGUAUGAGAGGAUGAUCAGCCACACUCGGACUAAGACACGGCCCAGACUCCUACGCGAGGGGGGAGUGGGGAAUACAGGACAAUGGGGUAAGUCCUGAUCCAGCAAGGGUUGGUGAGUCAUUAUGUUGGUAGGGAAGUGAAGCUGUUUUACACGGGGUGAUAAUGACGGUACCGGGAGAAUAAGCACCGGCUAACUUCGUG
rnacentral:rRNA from 1 species